rnacentral:snoRNA from 1 species
UUCUGGGGUUUGGGGGUGGGACACAGGACGUGCCUUUUGGAACAGACUCCUUUCGAGCCACUGAAGAGCAGGUUGUUUAUUGGCAAAACUGUCACCAUUGAGUUGGUAUCCGAUUCUAAGUUGCACAAGUGACCUGU